rnacentral:rRNA from 1 species
GUGGGGAAUCUUGCGCAAUGGGCGAAAGCCUGACGCAGCCAUGCCGCGUGAAUGAUGAAGGUCUUAGGAUUGUAAAAUUCUUUCACCGGGGACGAUAAUGACGGUACCCGGAGAAGAAGCUCCGGCUAACUUCGUGCCAGCAGCCGCGGUAAUACGAAGGGGGCUAGCGUUGCUCGGAAUUACUGGGCGUAAAGGGCGCGUAGGCGGACAGCUUAGUCAGAGGUGAAAGCCCAAGGCUCAACCUGGGAAUUGCCUUUGAUACUGGCUAUCUUGAGUAUGGGAGAGGUGAGUGGAACUCCGAGUGUAGAGGUGAAAUUCGUAGAUAUUCGGAAGAACACCAGUGGCGAAGGCGACUCACUGGCCCGUUACUGACGCUGAGGCGCGAAAGCGUGGGGAGCAAACAGGAUUAGAUACCCGUGUAGUCC